GAUGAACGCUGGCGGCGUGCCUAAUACAUACAAGUCGAGCGAAUGGAUUAAGAGCUUGCUCUUAUGAAGUUAGCGGCGGACGGGUGAGUAACACGUGGGUAACCUGCCCAUAAGACUGGGACAACUCCGGGAAACCGGGGCUAAUACCGGAUAACAUUUUGAACCGCAUGGUUCGAAAUUGAAAGGCGGCUUCGGCUGUCACUUAUGGAUGGACCCGGGUCGCAUUAGCUAGUUGGUGAGGUAACGGCUCACCAAGGCAACGAUGCGUAGCCGACCUGAGAGGGUGAUCGGCCACACGGGGACUGAGACACGGCCCAGACUCCUACGGGAGGCAGCAGUAGGGAAUCUUCCGCAAUGGACGAAAGUCUGACGGAGCAACGCCGCGUGAGUGAUGAAGGCUUUCGGGUCGUAAAACUCUGUUGUUAGGGAAGAACAAGUGCUAGUUGAAUAAGCUGACACCUUGACGGUACCUAACCAGAAAGCCACGGCUAACUACGUGCCAGCAGCCGCAGUAA
rnacentral:rRNA from 1 species